GCCAUUUUUUUUAUAGUUGAAUUCCAUGUUAUUUUAAUUUUUGCCAACAUCUUAAUCCUUCUUUUCACACUCACCUAUCUGCCAAACAUUGCAAGUAAUUCACUUAUAAGUGAAAGAUUAUCCCUAACAAACACUUUGGAAGAGUUUAUUCAGCUCACAAAAUGUGUAUACAUGGAAACAAACAAACAAACAAACAUGGUUAGACACUUUGCAUAAACAAAACAUUAUAUUAUGAGUAUUAUGUUUUUGAUAAGUAAGUUACUAGCAAAAAAAUUAGUGGCCUAGCAGGUCAAAACAGGAAAUUAAAAAAUACUGUAAAAAAUACAAACUCAUCUUUGGCAAGAACCAUCAAAUUUAAACAGAGAAAUUAGGGUCGAACAAUCCCGUAAAGCGAACCAUUCCAUAGAGCUCUGCAACGCAGAUCUAAUUUCUCUAACACAAAUAUAAUGGAGUAAUAAUAUUAGAACUAUAUAAAAUUAGGAGAUCUGAUUAGAGGAUCAUCAAUAUACCUUUAGGCGGGUAGGCAGGAGGCAUAAAUAAAGUGUAUAAUAAAGCUGCAUCAUUUUUUCUCCUCUUCAUAGCCAUCUCAAAGAGAGGACAGAAAUGUGUAGAAUGUAGAGAGAUGUAUGGGAGCGGCGGUGAGGGAAGGGAGCCGCAAGGCAAGCCCUAAUCUAUAUAACUAAAAGGCUGAAUAACA
rnacentral:lncRNA from 1 species